rnacentral:rRNA from 1 species
AUUGAACGCUGGCGGCAUGCCUUACACGUGCAAGUCGAACGGUAACAGGUCUUCGGAUGCUGACGAGUGGCGAACGGGUGAGUAAUACAUCGGAACGUGCCCGAUCGUGGGGGAUAACGAAGCGAAAGCUUUGCUAAUACCGCAUACGAUCUACGGAUGAAAGCAGGGGACCGCAAGGCCUUGCGCGAACGGAGCGGCCGAUGGCAGAUUAGGUAGUUGGUGGGAUAAAAGCUUACCAAGCCGACGAUCUGUAGCUGGUCUGAGAGGACGACCAGCCACACUGGGACUGAGACACGGCCCAGACUCCUACGGGAGGCAGCAGUGGGGAAUUUUGGACAAUGGGCGAAAGCCUGAUCCAGCCAUGCCGCGUGCAGGAUGAAGGCCUUCGGGUUGUAAACUGCUUUUGUACGGAACGAAAAGACUCUGGUUAAUACCUGGGGUCCAUGACGGUACCGUAAGAAUAAGCACCGGCUAACUACGUG